GGGAUGAGCUCAAGCUUAAAAUCUCCGUGCAAUUUUUGCGCGGCGAAUUGUAGUCUAUAGAAGCGUGGUCAGUAUGGGCACUUGGGUUAAGUUCCUUGGAAGAGGACAGCAUGGAGGGUGAUACUCCCGUUCAUCCCUAAGUUGCUUGUGCGUACGACCCGUUUUCUUUGAGUCGCGUUGUUUGAGAAUGCAGCGCAAAGUAGGUGGUAAAUUCCAUCUAAAGCUAAAUAUUGGUGCGAGACCGAUAGCAUACAAGUACCGUGAGGGAAAGAUGAAAAGAACUUUGAAAAUAGAGUUAAAGAGUACCUGAAACUGCUGAAAGGUAACCAAAUCGUUUCCAGUGUCUAUAAUCCGUGGUAUAUUUCAUUGGCGAGCGUAUGCGUGCGUGUGCUGUUGCAGUGGCCUUUUGGCUGCGCUCGGCGUGUGUGCUGUGUGUGCUUGCUGGUGCCCUGUGCUAUGGUGGGACGUCAAGGUCAGUUCGUAUGCUGCGGGAAAUGGCCACUGAGGAGGUAGGGCUUACGCUUGCGUUUGUCUGUUAUAUCUUGGUGGACGAGUAGUCGCGGUUGGGACUGAGGUGCCUACAACGUGCUUUUGAGUGGAUUUGGGUCUCCGUGUGCGCCGUGUGCGGAUAGCUUGCUAUGCGUGUGUGGUUGUGUAUGGAUUGAUGCGAGUCGUAACUUGUAGCCGUUCGGGACGUUGACG
rnacentral:rRNA from 1 species